rnacentral:rRNA from 1 species
AUGAAGUCCGCCAUGGAUCGUCCCUUGCUCCUCGCAGCCAUAGUAGCGUUGAUAAUUAUUGUUCCUGCAGCGCAAGCAGACGAUGGUGGCUGCGGGUCCGGGAAGGCGGGUACCAACCACCGCAGUGCUAAUUCGCUAAAGAUUGCCGCUUUCUUCUCAAUAUUAAUCUGCGGGGCGCUCGGGUGCGGCCUGCCUGUGAUGGGACGGCGUGUGCCUUGGCUGAACGCUGAUGCCGACGCCUUCUUUCUGAUCAAGGCGUUGGCAGCAGGAGUUAUUCUUUCCACGGGCUUCAUCCAUAUUCUUCCAGAUGCGUUUGAAGACCUUACAUCAGAUUGCCUACCAGUCAGCGGCCCCUGGAAAGAAUUCCCCUUCGCUGGGUUAGGCGCCAUGGUGGGAGCUAUUGGCGCCCUCAUCUUUGACACCGUCGCAACAGCGUACAUCACCCGCGUGCAGUUGAUCAAGGGAACUGCCCAUGCAGUCGCAUGCAGCGGCAGCGUGGUCGGCGUAGAUGAGGAGAAUCCGGCUGGUGCUGCCGGGGAAGGGCGUCACCAGGAAGUAGAAAUGCACGAGGGUUACGUGGACCUCCACACCCAUGCAUCGAACGGGCAUGCUCAUGGAUCGGCAGCGCUUGUCGUGGCAGUCGGCGGCAGCCAUGACGACAAAUACACGAUCCGGCAACGUGUUAUCUCACAGGUACUUGAACUUGGCAUUGUGGUCCACUCUGUGAUCAUUGGCAUCUCCCUCGGCGCUUGUCCGGAUCCGGACACCAUCAAGCCACUUGUCAUCGCACUAAGUUUCCACCAGAUGUUCGAAGGCAUCGGCCUUGGUGGCUGCAUAGUUCAGGCAAAGUUCAAGGCGACCUCCCUCAUUACUAUGAUCCUCUUCUUUUGCUUCACUACCCCGGUCAGCAUUGGCAUCGGCGCCGCUAUAUCGUCGGUGUACAACGAGAACAGCCCGAACGCGCUGAUCAUGGAGGGCCUUCUCAACUCCGUCGCGGCUGGGAUCCUCGUGUACAUGGCACUGGUCGACCUCCUAGCUGAGGAACUUACCAACCCGAAGGUGCAGGGAAGAUGGAAGCUUCAGCUUGGUAUCUACAUUUUUAUGUUGAUAGGGGCCGGCCUGAUGUCGAUGCUGGCAAAAUGGGCCUAG